CGGCGGACGGGUGAGUAACGCGUGGGUAACCUGCCUCAUACAGGGGGAUAACAGUUGGAAACGGCUGCUAAUACCGCAUAAAGCGCACAGUACCGCAUGGUACGGUGUGAAAAACUCCGGUGGUAUGAGAUGGACCCGCGUCUGAUUAGGUAGUUGGUGGGGUAACGGCCUACCAAGCCGACGAUCAGUAGCCGACCUGAGAGGGUGACCGGCCACAUUGGGACUGAGACACGGCCCAA
rnacentral:rRNA from 1 species